GAGUUUGAUCCUGGCUCAGAACGAACGCUGGCGGCGUGGAUAAGACAUGCAAGUCGAACGGAGUAAUUCGAAUAGCAAUAUUUGGAUUACUUAGUGGCGGACGGGUGAGUAACACGUGGGCAACCUGCCCGGAAGAGGGGGAUAGCUCGCCGAAAGGCGAAUUAAUACCGCAUGUGGCCUGGAAAGACAUCUUUCCUCAGCCAAAGUCGGGGCAACCUGACACUUCCGGAUGGGCCCGCGGCCUAUCAGCUUGUUGGUGAGGUAACGGCUCACCAAGGCUAUGACGGGUAGCUGGUCUGAGAGGACGACCAGUCACACUGGAACUGAGACACGGUCCAGACACCUACGGGUGGCAGCAGUCGAGAAUCAUUCGCAAUGGGGGAAACCCUGACGGUGCGACGCCGCGUGGAGGAUGAAGGCCUUCGGGUCGUAAACUCCUGUCAUGUAAGAGCAAGGAGACGGGGAGUAACUGCCCCGGCUUUGAUUGUAUUACAAGAGGAAGGGACGGCUAACUCUGUGCCAGCAGCCGCGGUAAUACAGAGGUCCCGAGCGUUGUUCGGAUUCAUUGGGCGUAAAGGGUGCGUAGGCGGCGAGGUAAGUCGGAUGUGAAAUCCCUGGGCUCAACCCCGGAACUGCAUUCGAUAC
rnacentral:rRNA from 1 species